UACGUAGGGUGCGAGCGUUAAUCGGAAUUACUGGGCGUAAAGCGUUCGUAGGCGGUUCGUUAAGUUCGUUGUGAAAGCCCCGGGCUCAACCUGGGAAUGGCAAUGGAAACUGGCGGGCUGGAGUAUGGCAGAGGGGGGUGGAAUUCCGCGUGUAGCAGUGAAAUGCGUAGAGAUGCGGAGGAACACCGAUGGCGAAGGCAGCCCCCUGGGCCAAUACUGACGCUCAGGCACGAAAGCGUGGGGAGCAAACAGG
rnacentral:rRNA from 1 species